rnacentral:rRNA from 1 species
GGUUAACGCUGGCGGCGUGCCUAACACAUGCAAGUCGAACGGUUCUAAGCGCGAGCUUAGGAUAGUGGCGAACGGGUGAGUAAAAGGUAGGAAUCUACCCCUUGGACGGAGAUAGCUACUGGAAACGGUAGGUAAACUUCGAUAAGCCCGAGAGGGGAAAGUGGUGAGACAGCCGAGGGAUGAGCCUACUCUCCAUCAGGUAGUUGGUGAGAUAAAAGCUUACCAAGCCGAUGACGGAUAACCGGUGUGAGAGCAUGAACGGUCACAAGGGCACUGAGAGACGGGCCCUACUCCUACGGGAGGCAGCAGUGGGGAAUCUUGGACAAUGGGCGAAAGCCUGAUCCAGCGACGCCGCGUGGAGGAAGAAGUCCUUCGGGAUGUAAACUUCUGAACUAGCCGAAUAAAAGGCCUGUGGACACACAGGAGAAGAAAGUAGGCUAGGAAAAGUCCCGGCUAACUUCGUG